GUGUCAACAGCCGCGGUAAUACGGAGGGUGCGAGCGUUAAUCGGAAUUACUGGGCUUAAAGCGUGCGCAGGCGGUGAUGUAAGACAGGUGUGAAUCCCCGGGCCUAACCUGGGAACUGCAUUUGUGACUGCAUCGCUGGAGUGCGGCAGAGGGGGAUGGAAUUCCGCGUGUAGCAGUGAAAUGCGUAGAUAUGCGGAGGAACACCGAUGGCGAAGGCAAUCCCCUGGGCCUGCACUGACGCUCAUGCACGAAAGCGUGGGGAGCAAACAGGAUUAGAUACCCCAGUAGUCC
rnacentral:rRNA from 1 species